rnacentral:rRNA from 1 species
GAUGAACGCUAGCGGCAGGCCUAACACAUGCAAGUCGAGGGGUAACAUUGGUGCUUGCACCAGAUGACGACCGGCGCACGGGUGCGUAACGCGUAUACAAUCUGCCUUGUACUGGGGGAUAGCCUUUGGAAACGAAGAUUAACACCCCAUGGUCUAUGGAUCUGGCAUCAUUUCCAUAGUAAAGGUCACGGUACAAGAUGAGUAUGCGUCCUAUUAGCUUGUUGGUGUGGUAACGGCACACCAAGGCUUCGAUAGGUAGGGGCCCUGAGAGGGGGAUCCCCCACACUGGUACUGAGACACGGACCAGACUCCUACGGGAGGCAGCAGUGAGGAAUAUUGGACAAUGGGGGCAACCCUGAUCCAGCCAUGCCGCGUGCAGGAAGACUGCCCUAUGGGUUGUAAACUGCUUUUGUACGGGAAGAAACACCCCCACGUGUGGGGGCUUGACGGUACCGUAAGAAUAAGGAUCGGCUAACUCCG